rnacentral:rRNA from 1 species
AGAGUUUGAUUCUGGCUCAGGACGAACGCUGGCGGCGUGCUUAACACAUGCAAGUCGAACGAUGAAGCCUAGCUUGCUAGGUGGAUUAGUGGCGAACGGGUGAGUAAUACGUGAGUAACCUACCUUUAACUCUGGGAUAAGCCUGGGAAACUGGGUCUAAUACCGGAUACGACCAAUCUCCGCAUGGGGUGUUGGUGGAAAGCGUUAUGUAGUGGUUAUAGAUGGGCUCACGGCCUAUCAGCUUGUUGGUGAGGUAAUGGCUCACCAAGGCGACGACGGGUAGCCGGCCUGAGAGGGUGACCGGCCACACUGGGACUGAGACACGGCCCAGACUCCUACGGGAGGCAGCAGUGGGGAAUAUUGCACAAUGGGCGCAAGCCUGAUGCAGCGACGCCGCGUGAGGGAUGACGGCCUUCGGGUUGUAAACCUCUGUUAGCAGGGAAGAAGAGAGAUUGACGGUACCUGCAGAGAAAGCGCCGGCUAACUACGUGCCAGCAGCCGCGGUAAUACGUAGGGCGCGAGCGUUGUCCGGAAUUAUUGGGCGUAAAGAGCUCGUAGGCGGCUGGUCGCGUCUGUCGUGAAAUCCUCUGGCUUAACUGGGGGCGUGCGGUGGGUACGGGCCGGCUUGAGUGCGGUAGGGGAGACUGGAACUCCUGGUGUAGCGGUGGAAUGCGCAGAUAUCAGGAAGAACACCGGUGGCGAAGGCGGGUCUCUGGGCCGUUACUGACGCUGAGGAGCGAAAGCGUGGGGAGCGAACAGGAUUAGAUACCCUGGUAGUCCACGCC